rnacentral:rRNA from 1 species
AGGUGCUGCAUGGCUGUCGUCAGCUCGUGUCGUGGGAGUGUUCGGUUAAGUCCGCUAACGAGCGCAACCCUCGCUGUGUGUUAUAUGUGUCACACGGGACUGCCGGUCUUAAGCCGGAGGAGGGUGGGGAUGAUGUCAAGUCAGCAUGGCCUUUAUAUCCUGGGCUACACACACGCUACAAUGGCCAACACAAUAGGUUGCUAAGCCGCGAGGUGGCGCCAAUCCAUAAAGUUGGUCUCAGUUCAGAUUGUAGGCUGCAACCCGCCUGCAUGAAGAUGGAGUUGCUAGUAACCGCAGGUCAGCUAUACUGCGGUGAAUACGUUCCCGGGGCUU